GGGCCCCUGGAAGCGCGGCUGGGUGCUCGCGGCGCUGGCACUGCUGCUCGGCCUGAUCCUGCUGCUGCACGCGCAGAUCACGGACCGCGGGGGCCUC
rnacentral:tRNA from 1 species